GACGAACGCUGGCGGCGUGCUUAACACAUGCAAGUCGAACGGAAAGGCCCUGCUUUUGUGGGGUGCUCGAGUGGCGAACGGGUGAGUAACACGUGAGUAACCUGCCCUUGACUUUGGGAUAACUUCAGGAAACUGGGGCUAAUACCGGAUAGGAGCUCCUGCUGCAUGGUGGGGGUUGGAAAGUUUCGGCGGUUGGGGAUGGACUCGCGGCUUAUCAGCUUGUUGGUGGGGUAGUGGCUUACCAAGGCUUUGACGGGUAGCCGGCCUGAGAGGGUGACCGGCCACAUUGGGACUGAGAUACGGCCCAGACUGCUACGGGAGGCAGCAGUGGGGAAUAUUGCACAGUGGGCGGAAGCCUGAUGCAGCAACGCCGCGGUCGGGAUGACGGCCUUCGGGUUGUAAACCGCUUUCGCCUGUGACGAAGCGGGAGUGACGGUAAUGGGUAAAGAAGCACCGGCUAACUACGUG
rnacentral:rRNA from 1 species